UAGGGAAUCUUCGGCAAUGGACGGAAGUCUGACCGAGCAACGCCGCGUGAGUGAAGAAGGUUUUCGGAUCGUAAAGCUCUGUUGUAAGAGAAGAACGAGUGUGAGAGUGGAAAGUUCACACUGUGACGGUAUCUUACCAGAAAGGGACGGCUAACUACGUGCCAGCAGCCGCGGUAAUACGUAGGUCCCGAGCGUUGUCCGGAUUUAUUGGGCGUAAAGCGAGCGCAGGCGGUUAGAUAAGUCUGAAGUUAAAGGCUGUGGCUUAACCAUAGUAGGCUUUGGAAACUGUUUAACUUGAGUGCAAGAGGGGAGAGUGGAAUUCCAUGUGUAGCGGUGAAAUGCGUAGAUAUAUGGAGGAACACCGGCGGCGAAAGCGGCUCUCUGGCUUGUAACUGACGCUGAGGCUCAAAAGCGUGGGGAGCAAACAGGAUUAGAUACCCUGGUAGUCCACGCUGUAAACGAUGAGUGCUAGGUGUUAGACCCUUUCCGGGGUUUAGUGCCGUAGCUAACGCAUUAAGCACUCCGCCUGGGGAGUACGACCGCAAGGUUG
rnacentral:rRNA from 1 species